AGGGCCGUUGGAGACUACAACGUUGAUAGGCAAGAUGUGGAAGUGCUGUGAGGCAUUAAGCUAACUUGUACUAAUUACCCGUGAGGCUUAACCAUACAACGCCAAACGCGUUU
rnacentral:rRNA from 1 species